rnacentral:lncRNA from 1 species
CCAAGAAAUCGCCAAAGACAAGUUAGUCUGGUUUCUUUAAUUAAAAUCUCAGUUGGAGCAUGAUUAGCAAUGUGAGAGGCUGUUUUCAAAGCUUAACCCCAAAGUUUUGUCUCAAUAUGGCAAAAAUCCUUCUUCCGAAGGACAUUUUGCUCAUCAGGAGACAGAAGAGUUACCCUACAUGGUGGCAGCUUUUCUGACUGGAGAUGUUUUAUUUUAAAGGACUGCUUCCACCUCAGUGGAGCAAGUGAGAGAGAGAAGCUAUCAGAGAGCGUUAUUGCUCAGUGACCACCGCAAAGACAAAGACGGCGGGGGAGAGUCACCAUGUGUCUCAUGUUCACCGAGUCAUGUUCAGUCUUCACC